rnacentral:rRNA from 1 species
AGGCAGACGGCUCAGUAACGCGUAGUCAACCUACCCUAUGGACGGGAAUAAUCUCGGGAAACUGAGCAUAAUACCCGGCGUACCACCAUUCCUGGAAUGGUUGGUGGUUAAAAUGAUUCGUCGCCGUAGGAUGGGACUGCGACCUAUCAGCUUGUUGGUGAGGUAAAGGCCCACCAAGGCGAUUACAGGUACGGGCUCUGAGAGGAGAAGCCCGGAGAUGGGUACUGAGACACGGACCCAGGCCCUAUGGGGCGCAGCAGGCGAGAAAACUUUGCAAUGUGCGAAAGCACGACAAGGUUAACCCGAGUGAUUUCUGCUAAAGGAAUCUUUUGCCAGUUCUAAAAAUACUAGUGAAUAAGGGGUGGGCAAGUUCUGGUGUCAGCCGCCGCGGUAAAACCAGCACCUCAAGUGGUCAGGAGGAUUAUUGGGCCUAAAACAUCCGUAGCCUGCUCUGUAAGUUUUCGGUUAAAUCUAUAUGCUC